UACGUAGGCAGCGAGCGUUGUUCGGAGUUACUGGGCGUAAAGAGUGCGUAGGCGGUUUUUUACGCUUGGUGUGAGAUCUCCCGGCUUAACUGGGAGGGUGCGCCGAAGACUGGAAGGCUUGAGUAUGGGAGAGGUAAGCGGAAUUCCUGGUGUAGCGGUGAAAUGCGUAGAUAUCAGGAGGAACACCUGCGGUGUAGACGGCUUACUGGACCAUCACUGACGCUGAGGCACGAAAGCGUGGGUAGCAAACAGG
rnacentral:rRNA from 1 species